GAUUCAGAAUCUAUUUCUAGAAGAGGUAAGAACUCUAGAACCAAAAGGGACCACCUCUCCCCACCGUGCGUAGGUCCCCCUUCUGAAAUUACCAUUCAGG
ensembl:misc_RNA